UACCUGCAGCUCAAGUGGUAACCGCUAUUAUUGGGCCUAAAGCGUCCGUAGCCGGUUUGGUAAAUAUCUGGGUAAAUCGUGAGGCUUAACUUCACGAAUUUCGGAUAGACUACCAGACUUGGGAUCGGGGGAGGUCAGAGGUACUCCAGGGGUAGCGGUGAAAUGUUGUAAUCCUUGGAGGACCACCGGUAGCGAGGGCGUCUGACUAGAACGAGUCCGACGGUGAGGGACGAAGCCCUGGGGCGCAAACCGGAUUAGAUACCCCGGGUAGUCCAGGGUGUAAACGAUGUGGGCUUUGUAUUGGAGGUCCCACGUGGGCGUCCAGUGCAGAAGAGAAGUUGUUAAGCCCACCGCCUGGGAAGUACGGUCGCAAGGCUGAAACUUAAAGGAAUUGGCGGGGGAGCACAGCAACGGGAGGAGCGUGCGGUUU
rnacentral:rRNA from 1 species